CCAAAAAAUAUAGCGUCUAAGCAAGAAAAGAAAAAAUUCCCCCACUUCCAACCACCUCCAGCAAACUAAAGAACAAUCCCAUAUACAUGGGAACUCCAAUGCUAAAACUACUAAUAUGGGGCUUCCCUUUUAGCACAUCUUUUCCUCACACACCUGACUAUUAACAGACCACAAAAGGAGAGAAAAUACCCUCCACUUUUCCCACCACACUGUAAGCCCAACUCUGAUGUGCAAAAAUAAAAUUAAAAGUCUUAGAAGGAACUCGGCAAACACAAACCCCAGCUGUUUACCAAAAACAUAGCCUUUAGCCACACAAGUAUUAAAGGUAUUGCCUGCCCAGUGAAUUUUUUCAACGGCCGCGGUAUCCUGACCGUGCAAAGGUAGCGAAAUCAUUUGUCUACUAAUUAUAGACCAGUAUGAAGGGCCACAUGAGGGUUUGACUGUCUCCUAAGACUGAUUUAUGAAACUGAUCUCCUAGUCCAAAAGCUAGAAUUCUAAUAUAAGACGAGAAGACCCUGUGAAGCUUAAAAAAUCCCAUUAAAGAGACUAACGGGUAUUUUUAGUUGGGGCAACUUUGGAAAACAAACCAACCUCCAAACACUUAAAAGACUGACAAGUCAAUCAACGACCCAGUAUAACUGAAAAAUGGACCAAGUUACUCCAGGGAUAACAGCGCAAUCUUCUUCAAGAGCCCGUAUCUAAAAGAAGGUUUACGACCUCGAUGUUGGAUCAGGACACCCAAACGGCGCAGUAGCUGUUAAAGGUUCGUUUGUUCAACGAUUGAAGU
rnacentral:rRNA from 1 species